UUUUUAAAAAAUCUCCGAGCUUUGGAUUCUGUAACCUUUUUGGUAUGAUCCAAAGCCGCUAGGGUUAGGCUGGAAACGGCUUAGCCUCCCGUGCUUGGAAAGGAGAUAAGUUGGAAAAUUU
rnacentral:ncRNA from 2 species